GAGUUUGAUCUUGGCUCAGAUUGAACGCUGGCGGCAUGCCUUACACAUGCAAGUCGAACGGCAGCACGGGAGCUUGCCCCUGGUGGCGAGUGGCGAACGGGUGAGUAAUGCAUCGGAACGUAUCCUGGAGUGGGGGAUAACGUAGCGAAAGUUACGCUAAUACCGCAUAUUCUGUGAGCAGGAAAGCGGGGGACCUUCGGGCCUCGCGCUCUUGGAGCGGCCGAUGUCGGAUUAGCUAGUUGGUGAGGUAAAGGCUCACCAAGGCGACGAUCCGUAGCAGGUCUGAGAGGAUGAUCUGCCACACUGGAACUGAGACACGGUCCAGACUCCUACGGGAGGCAGCAGUGGGGAAUUUUGGACAAUGGGGGCAACCCCUGAUCCAGCCAUCGCCGCGUGAGUGAAGAAGGCC
rnacentral:rRNA from 1 species